rnacentral:rRNA from 1 species
CCUACGGGAGGCAGCAGUGAGGAAUAUUGGUCAAUGGACGCAAGUCUGAACCAGCCAUGCCGCGUGCAGGAAGAAGGCUCUAUGAGUUGUAAACUGCUUUUGUACGAGGGUAAACGCAGAUACGCGUAUCUGUCUGAAAGUAUCGUACGAAUAAGGAUCGGCUAACUCCGUGCCAGCCGCCGCGGUAAUACGGAGGAUUCAAGCGUUAUCCGGAUUUAUUGGGUUUAAGGGGUGCGUAGGUGGUCGGAUAAGUUAGAGGUGAAAUCCCCAGGCUCAACUUCGGAAUUGCCUCGGAUACUGGUCGGCUAGAGAGUAGUUGAGGUAGGCGGAAUGUAUGGUGUAGCGGUGAAAUGCUUAGAGAUCAUACAGAACACCGAUUGCGAAGGCAGCUUACCAAGCUACUUCUGACGUUGAGGCACGAAAGCGUGGGGAGCAAACAGGAUUAGAUACCCGUGUAGUC